CUAUACAUGCAUGUCGAGCGGAGUUCUUCGGACUUAGCGGCGAUGGGUGAGUAACACGUACUUAACGUACCUUUUAGACUGGAAUAACGACUAGAAAUGGUCGCUAAUGCCGGAUACUUAUAUUAGUCGCAUGAUUAAUAUAUAAAAGAAGCGUUUGCUUCACUAGAAGAUCGGGGUGCGUUGCAUUAGUUAGUUGGUAAGGUAAUGGCUUACCAAGACGAUGAUGCAUAGCGGGGUUGAGAGACUGAACCGCCACACUGGGACUGAGAUACGGCCCAGACUCCUACGGGAGGCAGCAGUAGGGAAUUUUCCACAAUGGGCGAAAGCCUGAUGGAGCGACACAGCGUGUGCGAUGAAGGCCUUCGGGUUGUAAAGCACUGUUAUAAGGGAAGAAAAAGUAGUAUAGGAAAUGAUAUUACCUUGACGGUACCUUGUCAGAAAGCAACGGCUAACUAUGUGCCAGCAGCCGCGGUAAUACAUAGGUUGCAAGCGUUAUCCGGAAUUAUUGGGCGUAAAGCGUCUGUAGGUUGUUUGUUAAGUCUGGUGUGAAAACUUGGGGCUCAACCCCAAAUUGCAUUGGAUACUGGCAAACUAGAGUUAUGUAGAGGUAAGCGGAAUUCCUUGUGAAGCGGUGAAAUGCGUAGAUAUAAGGAAGAACACCAACUUGGCGAAGGCAGCUUACUGGACAUACACUGACACUGAGAGACGAAAGCGUGGGGAGCAAACAGGAUUAGAUACCCUGGUAGUCCACGCUGUAAACGAUGAUGAUUAGCUGAUGGGGAACUCAUCGGCGCAGCUAACGCAUUAAAUCAUCCGCCUGAGUAGUAUGCUCGCAAGAGUGAAACUUAAAGGAAUUGACGGGGAUCCGCACAAGCGGUGGAGCAUGUGGUUUAAUUUGAAGAUACGCGUAGAACCUUACCCACUCUUGACAUCUUCCGCAAAGCUAUAGAGAUAUAGUGGAGUACAG
rnacentral:rRNA from 2 species